rnacentral:rRNA from 1 species
UACGUAGGUGGCAAGCGUUGUCCGGAUUUAUUGGGCGUAAAGAGCUCGUAGGCGGUUUGUCGCGUCGGCUGUGAAAACCUGAGGCUCAACCUCGGGCCUGCAGUCGAUACGGGCAAACUAGAGUUCGGUAGGGGAGACUGGAAUUCCUGGUGUAGCGGUGAAAUGCGCAGAUAUCAGGAGGAACACCAAUGGCGAAGGCAGGUCUCUGGGCCGAAACUGACGCUGAGGAGCGAAAGCGUGGGGAGCGAACAGG